GCCCGCCUAGCUCAAUCGGAUAGAGCGUCAGACUCUUACGGGCAUAAAUCUGAAGGCUGCGAGUUCGACCCUCGCGGUGGGCU
rfam:Hebeloma cylindrosporum h7 unplaced genomic scaffold scaffold_12, whole genome shotgun sequence.